rnacentral:rRNA from 1 species
CACUUUCAGUAGGGAGGAAGGUAGUGUAGUUAACACCUGCACUAUUUGACGUUACCUACAGAAGAAGCACCGGCUAACUCCGUGCCAGCAGCCGCGGUAAUACGGAGGGUGCGAGCGUUAAUCGGAAUUACUGGGCGUAAAGCGCAUGCAGGCGGCCUGUUAAGUCAGAUGUGAAAGCCCGGGGCUUAACCUCGGAAUUGCAUUUGAAACUGGCAGGCUAGAGUCUUGUAGAGGGGGGUAGGAAUUUCAGGUGUAGCGGUGAAAUGCGUAGAGAUCUGAAGGAAUACCAGUGGCGAAGGCGGCCCCCUGGACAAAGACUGACGCUCAGAUGCGAAAGCGUGGGGAGCAAACAGGAUUAGAUACCCUGGUAG